GAUGAAGAACGUAGCGAAAUGCGAUAAGUAAUGUGAAUUGCAGAAUUCAGUGAAUCAUCGAAUCUUUGAACGCACCUUGCGCUCCUUGGUAUUCCGAGGAGCAUGCCUGUUUGAGUGUCAUUAAAUUCUCAACCUCACCAGUUUUCUGAACUGUUCUCCGAGGCUUGGAUGUGGGGGUUUGUGCAGGCUGCCUCAGCGCGGUCUGCUCCCCUGAAAUGCAUUAGCGAGUUCGAUACUGAGCUCCGUCUAUUGGUGUGAUAAUUAUCUACGCCGUGGAUCGGGGCUUAGACUCGCUUCUAACCGUCCGCAAGGACAAUACCUUGACAAUUUGACCUCAAAUCAGGUAGGACUACCCGCUGAACUUAAGCAUAUCAAUAAGCGGAGG
rnacentral:misc_RNA from 1 species